ACAUAACAAUGGAAGAAAAAAUUCAAAACUUCUAAAAAAAAACUCCUUCCUCUCUUAACACAAAAUUCUUCACAAACAAUUUAAAACUCAAAUCAAACAUACAAAACGAAAAAAAUAAAAGAAAUGAAAGAAAAAAAAACAGAAAUUGAGGAAUGGCGAUCGGAACUUGGAAGAGGUGUGAUUGUGUUUUACGGAGAUGUUG
rnacentral:lncRNA from 1 species